rnacentral:rRNA from 1 species
UACGGAGGGUGCGAGCGUUAAUCGGAAUUACUGGGCGUAAAGCGUGCGCAGGCGGUUUGUUAAGCGAGAUGUGAAAGCCCCGGGCUCAACCUGGGAACCGCAUUUCGAACUGGCAAACUAGAGUCUUGUAGAGGGGGGUAGAAUUCCAGGUGUAGCGGUGAAAUGCGUAGAGAUCUGGAGGAAUACCGGUGGCGAAGGCGGCCCCCUGGACAUAGACUGACGCUCAGGCACGAAAGCGUGGGGAGCAAACAGG